GACGAACGCUGGCGGCGUGCUUAACACAUGCAAGUCGAACGGUGAAACUCCAGCUUGCUGGAGUGGAUCAGUGGCGAACGGGUGAGUAACACGUGAGCAACCUGCCCCUGACUCUGGAAUAAGCGCUGGAAACGGCGUCUAAUACUGGAUACGAGAAGGGUCCGCAUGGGCACUUUCUGGAAAGUUUUUCGGUUGGGGAUGGGCUCGCGGCCUAUCAGCUUGUUGGUGAGGUAAUGGCUCACCAAGGCGACGACGGGUAGCCGGCCUGAGAGGGCGACCGGCCACACUGGGACUGAGACACGGCCCAGACUCCUACGGGAGGCAGCAGUGGGGAAUAUUGCACAAUGGGCGAAAGCCUGAUGCAGCGACGCCGCGUGAGGGAUGACGGCCUUCGGGUUGUAAACCUCUUUCAGCAGGGAAGAAGCGAAAGUGACGGUACCUGCAGAAGAAGCACCGGCUAACUACGUG
rnacentral:rRNA from 1 species